rnacentral:rRNA from 1 species
CCUGGUUGAUCUUGCCAGCAAUCAUAUGCUUGUCUCAAAGACUAAGCCAUGCACGUCUAAGUAUAAGCGAUUAUACUGCGAAACUGCAAACGGCUCAUUACAUCGGUUACACUCUACCCGGUCGUAAAAGUUACUUGGAUAACUGUAGGAAUUCUAGAGCUAAUACAUGCAAAAGCCCCGGAACCGGGCGACCGGCGAAGGGGGUGUUUACUCGGAUAGAAACCACCUCGGGCCAUUCAACUUCGGCGUUCGGCGUCGAGGGGUCCGACAGUAACUAUGACGAUUCAAAGUAAGUUCGACACGGAUCGCGGGCCUCGCGCCCGCGACGACUCGGACGAGUUUCCGCCCUAUCAACUUUCAACCGUAGUGUAGGGGACUACGGUGGUGAUAACGGGUACGGGGAAUUAGGGUUCGAUUCCGGAGAGGCGGCCCGAGAAACGGCCGCCACUUCCAAGGAAGGCAGCAGGCGCGUAAAUUAUCCAAUCCCGAUUCGGGGAGAUAGUGACAAGAAAUAUCGAUGUGGAGCCCGUUCGGGUUCCACGAUCAGAACGAGGACAACGUAAACGCGUUAGCGAGGAACAAUUGGAGGGCAAGUCUGGUGCCAGCAGCCGCGGUAAUUCCAGCUCCAAGAGUGUAUAUUAAAGUUGUUGCGGUUAAAAAGCUCGUAGUUGGACCUUGGCGGGGAACGCGCGUGGGCCCCCCUUUCUUCCCGCGAGGGAGGUUAGGGGAUCUAGGUCGACCGUUUCUUCGUUCGUCCUCGCCCUUUCGGGGGCGGGGAAAGAGGUUUCUCGAAACGCGCGGCGUCGGCCCUCCGGGGUCGGCGUCGGUUUCGUAGAAGGUUUACUUUGAAUAAAUUAGGGUGUUCAAAGCGGGCGUUUUCGCUCCGAAUACAUCAGCAUGGGAUAAUGAAAGAAGACCUCCGUCCGUACUUUCGGGUUGGUUCCUGGGACGGGGGUAAUGAUUGACAGGGGCGAUCGGGGUCGAUCGUACUCGGCGGUCAGAGGUGAAAUUCUAGGACCCGCCGAAGACGAACGAGUGCGAAGGCAUCCGACAAGGGCGUUUUCGUUAAUCAAGAACGAAAGUAGUGGGAUCGAAGAUGAUCAGAUACCGUCGUAGUCGCUACCGUAAACGAUGUCACUCGGGAUCCGCGGAAGUUACAUGGAUGACUCCGCGGGCACCGCGUGCGAAAGCAAAGUAUUCGGACUCCGGGGGGAGUAUGGUCGCAAGGCUGAAACUUAAAAGAAUUGACGGAAGGGCACCACCAGGAGUGGAACCUGCGGCUUAAUUUGACCCAACACGGGGAAACUUACCCGGUCCGGACGCGACGAGGAUUGACAGAUUGAUAGCUCUUUCUUGAUUUCGUGGGAGCCGGUGCAUGGCCGUUUUUAGUUGGUGGAGUGAUUUGUCUGGUCAA